UGGGGAAUAUUGGACAAUGGGCGCAAGCCUGAUCCAGCAAUGCCGCGUGUGUGAAGAAGGCCCUCGGGUUGUAAAGCACUUUUAUCAGGAGCGAAACGCUGUCGGCUAAUACCCGGCGGAACUGACGGUACCUGAGGAAUAAGCACCGGCUAACUUCGUGCCAGCAGCCGCGGUAAUACGAAGGGUGCAAGCGUUAAUCGGAAUUACUGGGCGUAAAGCGUGCGUAGGCGGUUUCUUAAGUCUGCUGUGAAAUCCCCGGGCUCAACCUGGGAAUGGCAGUGGAUACUGGGAGGCUAGAGUGUGUCAGAGGGUGGUGGAAUUCCCGGUGUAGCGGUGAAAUGCGUAGAGAUCGGGAGGAACAUCAGUGGCGAAGGCGGCCACCUGGGACAACACUGACGCUGAGGCACGAAAGCGUGGGGAGCAAACAGGAUUAGAUACCCUGGUAGUCCACGCCCUAAACGAUGCGAACUGGAUGUUGGUCUCAACUCGGAGAUCAAUGUCGAAGCUAACGCGUUAAGUUCGCCGCCUGGGGAGUACGGUCGCAAGACUGAAACUUAAAUGAAUUGACGGGGGUCAUAGCUGUUUCCUG
rnacentral:rRNA from 1 species